UACGUAGGCGGAAGAUUAAGUCAGUGGUGAAAUCCUGCAGCUUAACUGUAGAACUGUCAUUGAUACUGGUUUUCUUGAAUUUAGUUGAGGUAGGCGGAAUGUGUAAUGUAGCGGUGAAAUGCUUAGAUAUUACAUAGAACACCGAUUGCGAAGGCAGCUUACUAUACUGUGAUUGACGCUGAGGCACGAAAGCGUGGGGAGCGAACAGGAUUAGAUACCCUGGUAGUCC
rnacentral:rRNA from 1 species